UAUAGCAACUUCAUUCACUCUUCUUCUACUAACUACUUGCUCGCGAUAGUUUUAGAGAAAACUGCUGUGGAAAAUUCGGCCAGAGUAUCAAGUGAAUCCACAACAUCACCACAACGUAUUUUCAAGCCAGAAAGGUUCAUGGAUAACAGUAGCCGUGGAAAGGAAGACUGGAUACGAAGAAGAGUGAAGGAGACAGGAGGAAAGACAGAUGCCCUGUUGUCCUGCGAACAAUGUUUGAAGAUCCACUGACUGAACUUUGGCUGGCCUUUGUCAAUGGAAACCUGACCGUAAUUCAGUGACACGAUCAAGAUGCUUAAAGGCCAGGACCGCUGUGCUGUGGAGUCCGCUGCAAUUCUGAGAAACUUUGAGGCAAAAUUGACUGCAAGACGUGACGACAACAACUUCAUUACAGUUUUGGUCAGAGGACUUCUGAGAGAGCUAGAGGGAAAUGGAGCCAUGUCUAAAGAGAGCUUUCUCAAAACAUCCCAAUCGUUCUUCACUAUGGCUGUGAACUACUUGCAAGCAUGGGGAAAGCACACAGAUAAUCUAAAAGAUUUACAUUGUCUCCUUUUAAAAAGGCAACCUCUGCGUUAAGAGAUCCAGAAGGUACACUGCAGGAAAAAUUCCCCAAUGUGACCAUCAAUGAGGAUGCAUUGUGUGACGAGGUUACUGGCCUGCAAGAGUUCCUAAAGGGGGGAUCGCUUGAAGAAUGGAAAACAUCUGAGACACCGCUUAGUCAGAGAGGGAGUACGGUGGUUACCCACUUCAAAGCGAGUGACAUCCCACACACUAACCUAGCUAGAUUAGAGAUGAUGAUCUCGCCAUCACGGUUGACAACUCCAUUGUGUCCUCGUCCCAGAGCGCUAAGAACCUUGGCGUGAUCCUGGACAACAACCUGUCGUUCUCAAAUAACAUCAAGGCGGUGGCCCGUUCCUGUAGGUUCAUGCUCUACAACAUCCGCAGAGUACGACCCUGCCUCACACAGGAAGCGGCGCAGGUCCUAAUCCAGGCACUUGUCAUCUCCCGUCUGGAUUACUGCAACUCGCUGUUGGCUGGGCUCCCUGCCUGUGCCAUUAAA